rnacentral:rRNA from 1 species
AUUCCAGCUCCAAUAGCGUAUAUUAAAGUUGUUGCAGUUAAAAAGCUCGUAGUUGAACUUCUGACUAUUGCGUAAGCCGGAUUCGUUCGCUCUCGUGAUAGUCAUCCGCUUGGGAACUCCGUUCGAACUUAACUGUUUGGCGGAAGGAACAGGCAUUUUACUUUGAAAAAAUUAGAGUGUUCAAAGCAGGCUAUCGCUUGAAUACAUGAGCAUGGAAUAAUGGAAUAGGACUUUGGUCUUAUUUUAUUGGUUUCUGAGACCGAAGUAAUGAUUAAGAGGGACAAUUGGGGGCAUCCGUAUUUCGUUGUCAGAGGUGAAAUUCUUGGAUUUACGAAAGACGAACAACUGCAAAAGCACUUGCCAAGAGUGUUUUCAUUA